ACUCCUACGGGAGGCAGCAGUGGGAAUAUUGCACAAUGGGGGAAACCCUGAUGCAGCCAUGCCGCGUGUGUGAAGAAGGCCUUCGGGUUGUAAAGCACUUUCAGUAGGGAGGAAGGUAGUGUAGUUAACACCUGCAUUAUUUGACGUUACCUACAGAAGAAGCACCGGCUAACUCCGUGCCAGCAGCCGCGGUAAUACGGAGGAUCCAAGCGUUAUCCGGAAUCAUUGGGUUUAAAGGGUCCGUAGGUGGAUGAUUAAGUCAGAGGUGAAAUCCUGCAGCUCAACUGUAGAAUUGCCUUUGAUACUGGUUGUCUUGAAUUAUUGUGAAGUAGUUAGAAUAUGUGGUGUAGCGGUGAAAUGCAUAGAUAUCACAUAGAAUACCGAUUGCGAAGGCAGAUUACUAACAAUACAUUGACACUGAUGGACGAAAGCGUGGGGAGCGAACAGGAUUAGAUACCCUGGUAGGCUCUG
rnacentral:rRNA from 1 species